UCAAGCGACUAAGUGUAUGUGGUGGAUGCCUUGGCGAUCACAGGCGAUGAAGGACGUGACAGCCUGCGAAAAGCUGUGGGGAGCUGGCAAAUAAGCUUUGAUCCACAGAUGUCCGAAUGAGGGAACUCACCUGCUUUGCAGGUAUCCCAUCCUGAAUAUAUAGGGAUGGGAGGCGAACGAAGCGAACUGAAACAUCUAAGUAGCUUCAGGAAAAGAAAUCAACCGAGAUUCCGAAAGUAGCGGCGAGCGAAAUCGGAUCAGCCCAGCACUCGAUAGCAGCCAACUUACGGGAACGGUCUGGAAAGUCCGGCCAUAGAGGGUGAUAGCCCCUUACUGGAAAAGGCAGCUGUGGUACUAAGUGUGCGAUAAGUAGAGCGGGACACGUGACAUCCUGCUCGAAGAUGGGGGGACCAUCCUCCAAGGCUAAAUACUCGUGAUCGACCGAUAGCGUACCAGUACUGUGAAGGAAAGGUUAAAAGAACCCCGGGAGGGGAGUGAAAUAGAUCCUGAAACCGCAUACAUACAAACAGUAGGAGCCUCGUUAAGGGGUGACUGCGUACCUUUUGCAUAAUGGGUCAGCGACUUACGUUUAAUGGCGAGCUUAACCGUAUAGGGGAGGCGCAGCGAAAGCGAGUUCGAACAGAGCGUUCAGUCGUUAGGCGUAGACCCGAAACCAGAUGAUCUAUCCAUGGCCAGGUUGAAGGUGUGGUAACACACACUGGAGGACCGAACCGACUAGUGUUGCAAAAUUAGCGGAUGAGCUGUGGAUAGGGGUGAAAGGCUAAACAAAUCUGGAGAUAGCUGGUUCUCCCCGAAAACUAUUGAGGUAGUGCCUCGUGUAUGACUCCAGGGGGUAGAGCACUGUUAUGGCUAGGGGGACAUGGCGUCUUACCAAACCAUGGCAAACUCCGAAUACUUGGAAGUUUGAGCACGGGAGACAGAGCACCGGGUGCUAACGUCCGGACUCAAGAGGGAAACAACCCAGACCGCCGGCUAAGGUCCCUAAUAUUGACUAAGUGGAAAACGAAGUGGAAAGGCUAAGACAGUCAGGAAGUUGGCUUAGAAGCAGCCAUCCUUCAAAGAAAGCGUAAUAGCUCACUGAUCGAGUCUUUCUGCGCGGAAGAUGUAACGGGGCUAAGUCAAUAACCGAAGCCGCGGAUUCACACUUGUGUGUGAGUGGUAGGGGAGCGUUCUGUAAGCCUGCGAAGGUGACUCGUAAGGGUUGCUGGAGGUAUCAGAAGUGCGAAUGCUGACAUGAGUAACGUUAAAGCGGGUGAAAAGCCCGCUCGCCGUAAGCCCAAGGUUUCCUGCUCUACGUUCAUCGGAGCAGGGUGAGUCGGCCCCUAAGGUGAGGCUGAGAAGCGUAACUGAUGGGAACAAGGUUAAUAUUCCUUGACCACCGCUGAAUGCGAAGGGGGGACGGAGUAUUGAAGAUCAUCCGGGUGUUGGAUAUCCCGGUUUGCGAGCGUAGGAGGCUGACAGGCAAAUCCGUCAGCGGAUCUCCGAGGCAAAGCAUCGAGCUCUCUUUUGAGCGAAGUGAUUGGAUGUGCUUCCAGGAAAAGCCUCUAAGCUCCAGUUCAGCGGGACCGUACCGCAAACCGACACUGGUGGGCGAGCUGAAUAUGCUCAGGCGCUUGAGAGAACUCAGGAGAAGGAACUCGGCAAAUUGACACCGUAACUUCGGGAUAAGGUGUGCCUUUGUAGCGUGGAGGGAGAAACACCCCGAGCGCGAAGAGGUCUCAGAUAAUCGGUGGCUGCGACUGUUUAUUAAAAACACAGCACUCUGCAAAGACGAAAGUCGACGUAUAGGGUGUGAUGCCUGCCCGGUGCUGGAAGAUUAAUUGAUGGGGUGCAAGCUCCUGAUCGAAGUCCCAGUAAACGGCGGCCGUAACUAUAACGGUCCUAAGGUAGCGAAAUUCCUUGUC
rnacentral:rRNA from 1 species